rnacentral:rRNA from 1 species
UAAUACGGAGGGUGCAAGCGUUAUCCGGAUUUACUGGGUUUAAAGGGUGCGUAGGCGGGCAUGUAAGUCAGUGGUGAAAUACCGGAGCUUAACUUCGGAACUGCCAUUGAUACUAUAUGUCUUGAAUAUUGUGGAGGUAAGCGGAAUAUGUCAUGUAGCGGUGAAAUGCAUAGAUAUGACAUAGAACACCGAUUGCGGAGGCAGCUUGCUACACAAAUAUUGACGCUGAGGCACGAAAGCGUGGGGAUCAAACAGG